rnacentral:rRNA from 1 species
AUUGAACGCUGGCGGCAUGCCUUACACAUGCAAGUCGAACGGCAGCACGGGAGCAAUCCUGGUGGCGAGUGGCGAACGGGUGAGUAAUAUAUCGGAACGUGCCCAGUAGUGGGGGAUAACUGCUCGAAAGAGCAGCUAAUACCGCAUACGACCUGAGGGUGAAAGGGGGGGAUCGCAAGACCUCUCGCUAUUGGAGCGGCCGAUAUCAGAUUAGCUAGUUGGUGGGGUAAAGGCCUACCAAGGCAACGAUCUGUAGUUGGUCUGAGAGGACGACCAGCCACACUGGGACUGAGGCACGGCCCAGACUCCUACGGGAGGCAGCAGUGAGGAAUUUUGGACAAUGGGCGCAAGCCUGAUCCAGCAAUGCCGCGUGCAGGAAGAAGGCCUUCGGGUUGUAAACUGCUUUUGUCAGGGAGGAAAUCCUCUAGGUUAAUACCCUUGGGGGGAUGACGGUACCUGAAGAAUAAGCACCGGCUAACUACGUGCCAGCAGCCGCAGUAACAC